rnacentral:rRNA from 1 species
GAUGAACGCUAGCGGCAGGCCUAAUACAUGCAAGUCGAGGGGAAUGGGUUGCUUGCAACCCAGAGACCGGCGCACGGGUGCGUAAGGCGUAUGCAAUCUACCUUAAUCAGGGGGAUAGCCCGGAGAAAUUCGGAAUAACACCGCAUAACAUUGAGAUGUGAUUUCAUAGUUCAAUCAAGUAUUUAUAGGAUUUAGAUUAGCAUGCGUGACAUUAUUUAGUUGGUGAGGGAACGGCGCACCAAGACCACGAUGCCAAGGGGAGCUGAGGGUAUGCCCCCCCACACUGGUACCGCGGCCCAGACCCCACCGCUACGCGAGGCAGGAGUAAGUAAUAUUGGGCACUGGGCGCUAGCCUGACCCCGCCAUGCCGCUGGCAGGAAGACGGCCCUCUGGGUUGUAAACUGCUUUUGUACCGGAAUAAUCCUUCUCUUGCGAGAGAAGCUGACCGUACGGUACGAAUAAGGAUCGGCUAACUCCGUG